AGCGGCGAACGGGUGAGUAACGCGUGGGUGAUCUACCUCCGAGUGGGGAAUAACCCCGGGAAACUGGGGCUAGUACCGCAUGACAUCCCUGAGUCACAUCGGGGAUCAAAGCCGGGGACCGCAAGGCCUGGCGUUUGGAGAUGAGCCCGCGUCCGAUUAGCUAGUUGGCGGGGUAACGGCCCACCAAGGCUUCGAUCGGUAGCCGGCCUGAGAGGGCGGACGGCCACACUGGGACUGAGACACGGCCCAGACUCCUACGGGAGGCAGCAGUGGGGAAUUUUUCGCAAUGGGGGAAACCCUGACGAAGCAACGCCGCGUGGAGGAUGAAGGCCUUCGGGUCGUAAACUCCUGUCGACCGGGACGAAAGUAGUCCGACCCAACACGUCGGGCUAUCGACUGUACCGGUGGAGGAAGCCACGGCUAACUCUGUGCCAGCAGCCGCGGUAAUACAGAGGUGGCAAGCGUUGUUCGGAAUUACUGGGCGUAAAGGGCGCGUAGGCGGUCUCGUAAGUCCCGUGUGAAAGCCCCCGGCUCAACUGGGGAAUGGCACGGGAAACUGUGAGGCUAGAGAUCGGGAGAGGGAAGCGGAAUUCCGGGUGUAGCGGUGAAAUGCGUAGAUAUCCGGAGGAACACCGGUGGCGAAGGCGGCUUCCUGGACCGACACUGACGCUGAGGCGCGAAAGCUAGGGAGCAAACGGGAUUAGAUACCCGGUAGUCCUAGCUGUAAACGAUG
rnacentral:rRNA from 1 species